CAUAAAUAUUAUUGGAUGAAAUAACCUUAAAUCCAAUCUGGAUUAUUACUGACAUAGGUAUUUAAACUUCUAUAUAAUCCUUUUGUGCCUUAAAUGUUACUGUAUUUGUCCAGCAAGAAUUUGAACAAUGAGUAGUAUUGACCUAAGUAUUUUGGAGUUCUGUUUUGUAUCAGUAUUUAAUAAGGAAAAUUGGAUUUCUACAAAAACAAUAUAAAGUGGAAUAAAAUGAAUGAAAUAGCAGCUAUCUUCUAUAACUCCUCACUAUAAAGAUAUUAUUUAUAUUUUAUACUGUAGUAAAAAAUGUACAACUUAUAUGGCAAGAAGAAAUCAUGAACUGAGCAUAAAAUAUCAAUCAAGAGAAGAUAAAUGGAGUAAUUCUUCACUAAUUAAUGAUUAUUCUCUGAAACUGAGAAAGAUCCAAGAGAACUCUUCUUUACCAUCUGGAACACAUUUGAAACUCUUUUAAGAUCAUAGCCGCUGUUGCUGAUGUUAAGAAAGGAUCUGUCGGUCGAAAUUCUACCUUGCUUCAAUUCAUUCAUGUCCCUGCAAUGCCUUCUGGUGUGGUGUAAAAGCAAUUAAAUGAAAUCUUUCCUCCACAUGCUUUGAUAAUGUCUUAAUUAUUUGUGUCAACUAUUUGCAAAUCUAUUCUUUAUGAUACUAUGUAGAAAAAAGUCACCUC
rnacentral:lncRNA from 1 species